CUGAGAAGAUAACGAUUGGCUGUUUACUCGCUUUGGAUGCGAGAGGUUGCAGGUUCGAGUCCUGCUUCUCAGA
rnacentral:tRNA from 1 species